AGAGUUUGAUCAUGGCUCAGGAACAACGCUGGCGGCGUGCCUAAUGCAUGCAAGUCGAACGGGAGCCCCUUCGGGGGUCGACCGUGGCGGACGGGUGAGGAACACGUGGGGAACCCAUCCAGGCGUGGGGGAUAACCGCGGGAAACCGUGGGUAAUACCGCAUGAGCUUGGCCUUUGGUGAGAGGGUCAAGUAAAGGAGCAAUCCGCGCUUGGCGGGGCCUGCGGCCUAUCAGCUAGAUGGCGGGGUAGUGGCCCACCAUGGCGAUGACGGGUAGCUGGUCUGAGAGGACGAUCAGCCACACGGGGACUGAGACACGGCCCCGACUCCUACGGGAGGCAGCAGCAAGGAAUUUUCCGCAAUGGGCGCAAGCCUGACGGAGCGACGCCGCGUGGGGGAAGACGCUUUUCGGAGUGUAAACCCCUUUUCUGGGGGAUGAAGACAGUGACAGUACCCCAGGAAGAAGGACCGGCUAACUACGUGCCAGCAGCCGCGGUAAGACGUAGGGUCCGAGCGUUGUCCGGAGUUACUGGGCGUAAAGGGCGCGUAGGCGGCUUCUUGCGUCACACGUGAAAGCCCCCGGCUCAACCGGGGAGGGUCGUGUGAAACGGGGGAGCUGGAGGCAGCGAGAGGCUGGUGGAAUUCCCGGAGUAGUGGUGAAAUGCGUAGAGAUCGGGAGGAACACCGGUGGCGAAGGCGGCCAGCUGGCGCUGACCUGACGCUGAGGCGCGAAGGCGUGGGGAGCGAACGGGAUUAGAUACCCUAGUAGUCC
rnacentral:rRNA from 1 species